AACGAACGCUGGCGGCAUGCCUAACACAUGCAAGUCGAACGAGACCUUCGGGUCUAGUGGCGCACGGGUGCGUAACGCGUGGGAACCUGCCCUUAGGUUCGGAAUAACUCCCCGAAAGGGGUGCUAAUACCGGAUAAUGUCUUCGGACCAAAGAUUUAUCGCCUUUGGAUGGGCCCGCGUUGGAUUAGCCAGUUGGUAGGGUAAAAGCCUACCAAGGCGACGAUCCAUAGCUGGUCUGAGAGGAUGAUCAGCCACACUGGGACUGAGACACGGCCCAGACUCCUACGGGAGGCAGCAGUGGGGAAUAUUGGACAAUGGGCGAAAGCCUGAUCCAGCAAUGCCGGGUGAGUGAUGAAGGCCUUAGGGUUGUAAAGCUCUUUUACCCGGGAUGAUAAUGACAGUACCGGGAGAAUAAGCACCGGCUAACUCCGUG
rnacentral:rRNA from 1 species